UACAGAGGGGGCAAGCGUUGUUCGGAAUUACUGGGCGUAAAGGGCGCGUAGGCGGCCUUUUAAGUCGAACGUGAAAUCCCCGGGCUCAACCCGGGAACUGCGUCCGAUACUGGAAGGCUUGAAUCCGGGAGAGGGAUGCGGAAUUCCAGGUGUAGCGGUGAAAUGCGUAGAUAUCUGGAGGAACACCGGUGGCGAAGGCGGCAUCCUGGACCGGUAUUGACGCUGAGGCGCGAAAGCGAGGGGAGCAAACGGG
rnacentral:rRNA from 1 species